rnacentral:rRNA from 1 species
UAGUUUAGUGGCGGACGGGUGAGUAACACGUGAGCAACCUGCCUUCGAGAGGGGAAUAACGGCUGGAAACGGUCGCUAAUACCGCAUAACAUACAGGAGGGACAUCCCUUUUGUAUCAAAGAUUUAUCGCUCGAAGAUGGGCUCGCGUCCGAUUAGGUAGUUGGUGAGGUAACGGCCCACCAAGCCGACGAUCGGUAGCCGGACUGAGAGGUUGAACGGCCACACUGGGACUGAGACACGGCCCAGACUCCUACGGGAGGCAGCAG